rnacentral:tRNA from 1 species
GCCCUUGUAGCUCAGCCUGGCUAGAGCGGCAGUUUCGUAAACUGCAGGCCGAGGGUUCAAAUCCCUCCAGGGGCU